AGAUGGAAACUGGUGGAAUUGUCAGCUUGAGUUGCUGGGCAGAAGCUGCUGGUAUUGAUGAAAAAAUGCUUAAGCAGCAACUUUUCGGUUGGCAUCGUCAGAACGAGGUUGUAAGGAGUACUAAGUCCUUAGUUCUAUACCUUGCAAGAAAGUAUAGGGGUUUAGCAAUAACCUUGGAUGAUUUACUUCAGGUUAUGAAUAUCAAGUCUUACAACCACAUGAUAUCACAGAAAAUACUCACAAAAUUAUAGAACUUCUUAGAUAUUCUGAUGAAGGGGUUGUAGUUGUAGAUACUCUAUCGUUCAUCGCCAAGUUCAAGUCAGACGCUCCAUAUAGUAACGAGGAGAUCAAUGCAGUACGGGAUGAGUGGACUGAAUUUAUGGAGCCUUUGAUUAUCAAUUAAGUACAAGGUUACUACUUUUGUUAUAAUACACGAG